GCAGGAAGCUUCCAACCACCAGUGACCUUGAAGAACUUCUCCUGGCAGCUGAUACUCCUGAGGAUAGCACUGAAGUGGAUAAUGACAUGAGUUGGGACAGUGACCUCUCAUCGAUUUUGCUGCUGCUACACCUGAUUCCCCCCUCUGCCUUGGGUCGUAAGAGACCAGGGAAGGUAUCUGCCUCCCAAGCAGAGAAGCGUCUUGUGGUCUUCAAGAAGAUAGGAACCAACAUCCAAGAACAUCUUGAUGCCAUCACGACGAGCACACAACCCUAUCUCCUUGCUGUGGACGGAGGAAGAAAGUAGCCCACCAGUUCUUCAUCAUCCUUGACAAGAAUGCCAUUGCUUGCAGGUCAACAUCCUCUCUUGGUGCUUUUGAUGAACUGUUUAAGGCACAUUACGUGUUUGCCACAACAUACAACCCCAUACUAUGCAACAUGUUCACAUUCAUCCAGACCACUGUGUACAAUAUAGACGUAGGUAAAGUGAAAGAAAGUCCUCGUGUGGCAGAAAUUCGGGCUAGGUUGCUUCAGUAGUACUUGAACAAAUCUGUUUGGCAUUAUGUGUUUUAUUUGUUGGGCAGAGUUAAGUUGCACAAAUGCACUUGUUUGGUAUCUACAAAUAGUUCGUUCAUGGUUACUUGGAUGGAAAAACUCUUUGCCUUAAAUGUACUCUGUCAACUUCGAGCCGUCAAUGGGAUGUACACCAUGUGAUGUUACUGUGACAAAAGUUA